rnacentral:rRNA from 1 species
GCUCAGGACGAACGCUGGCGGCGUGCUUAACACAUGCAAGUCGAACGAUGAACCACUUCGGUGGGGAUUAGUGGCGAACGGGUGAGUAACACGUGGGCAAUCUGCCCUGCACUCUGGGACAAGCCCUGGAAACGGGGUCUAAUACCGGAUACUGAUCAUCUUGGGCAUCCAAGAGGUUCGAAAGCUCCGGCGGUGCAGGAUGAGCCCGCGGCCUAUCAGCUAGUUGGUGAGGUAAUGGCUCACCAAGGCGACGACGGGUAGCCGGCCUGAGAGGGCGACCGGCCACACUGGGACUGAGACACGGCCCAGACUCCUACGGGAGGCAGCAGUGGGGAAUAUUGCACAAUGGGCGAAAGCCUGAUGCAGCGACGCCGCGUGAGGGAUGACGGCCUUCGGGUUGUAAACCUCUUUCAGCAGGGAAGAAGCGA